AUUGAACGCUGGCGGCAGGCCUAACACAUGCAAGUCGAACGGUAACAGGAAGCAGCUUGCUGCUUCGCUGACGAGUGGCGGACGGGUGAGUAAUGUCUGGGAAGCUGCCUGAUGGAGGGGGAUAACUACUGGAAACGGUAGCUAAUACCGCAUAAUGUCGCAAGACCAAAGAGGGGGACCUUCGGGCCUCUUGCCAUCGGAUGUGCCCAGAUGGGAUUGGCUUGUUGGUGGGGUAACGGCUCACCAAGGCGACGAUCCCUAGCUGGUCUGAGAGGAUGACCAGCCACACUGGAACUGAGACACGGUCCAGACUCCUACGGGAGGCAGCAGUGGGGAAUAUUGCACAAUGGGCGCAAGCCUGAUGCAGCCAUGCCGCGUGUAUGAAGAAGGCCUUCGGGUUGUAAAGUACUUUCAGCGGGGAGGAAGGGAGUAAAGUUAAUACCUUUGCUCAUUGACGUUACCCGCAGAAGAAGCACCGGCUAACUCCGUG
rnacentral:rRNA from 1 species